UCUCAACAAAAAAAAACAACAACAAAAACAACAACAACAACAACAACAACAAAAAGAAUGGUCUAGAAGAAAGAAGACUGGAAUGAUGAAGCAGAAGAGAAGGGAGGCUUACAUAACAUCUUGCGGUAAUGAAAGGGGAUGGAAUCUGGUAUAGGAUCCAGAUCCAGGACUUGAGCAUAGCAGAUUUUGGCAUCUGCGGGUUGUCCUGAAACCAGUGCCCCACAGAUAUGGAGAGCUGACUGCAUUCCAAGUGAAGUUCAUGAGGAUUCCUAGAGCAGAAAAGAAGACAGCAAGCUUAGAGGAUGGAGUCUCGCUCUGUUGCCCAUGCUGGAGUGCAAUGGCACG
rnacentral:lncRNA from 1 species